AGAGUUUGAUCCUGGCUCAGAGUGAACGCUGGCGGCGUGCUUAACACAUGCAAGUCGAACGGUAACGCGAAGUGCUUGCACUUUGGCGACGAGUGGCGCACGGGUGAGUAAUAUAUAGUUAAUGUACCCCAAAGACUGGGAUAGCCACUGGAAACGGUGAUUAAUACCAGAUACACCUUCAUAUCAAAAGGUAUGAAGGGAAAUGUCUUUUCGCUUUGGGAUCAGACUAUAUCCCAUCAGUUAGUUGGUAGGGUAAUGGCCUACCAAGGCAAUGACGGGUAGCGGGUUUGAGAGGAUGAUCCGCCACACUGGUACUGAGACACGGACCAGACUCCUACGGGAGGCAGCAGUGAGGAAUAUUGCACAAUGGGGGGAACCCUGAUGCAGCAACGCCGCGUGGAGGAUGACGCAUUUCGGUGUGUAAACUCCUUUUAUAUGUCAAGAAAAUGACGGUAGCAUAUGAAUAAGCACCGGC
rnacentral:rRNA from 1 species